GUGUCGUGAGAUGUUGGGUUAAGUCCCGCAACGAGCGCAACCCUUGUCAUUAGUUGCUACGAAAGGGCACUCCAAUGAGACUGCCGGUGACAAACCGGAGGAAGGUGGGGAUGACGUCAGGUCAUCAUGGCCCCUAUGGGUAGGGCUACACACGUCAUACAAUGGCCGGUACAGAGGGCUGCCAACCCGCGAGGUGGAGCUAAUCCCAGAAAACCGGUCGUAGUCCGGAUCGCAGUCUGCAACUCGACUGCGUGAAGUCGGAAUCGCUAGUAAUCGCGGAUCACCUCGCCGCGGUGAAUACGUUCCCGGGUCUUGUACACACCGCCCGUCACACCAUGGGAGCGGGUUCUGCCAGAAGUAGUUGGCCUAACUGCAAGGGGGGCGAUUACCACGGCAGGGUUCGUGACUGGGCUGAAGUCGUAACAAGGUAACCGU
rnacentral:rRNA from 1 species